UGGGGAAUUUUGGACAAUGGGCGAAAGCCUGAUCCAGCAAUGCCGCGUGUGUGAAGAAGGCCUUCGGGUUGUAAAGCACUUUUGUCCGGAAAGAAAUCCUUGGCUCUAAUACAGUCGGGGGAUGACGGUACCGGAAGAAUAAGCACCGGCUAACUACGUGCCAGCAGCCGCGGUAAUACGUAGGGUGCAAGCGUUAAUCGGAAUUACUGGGCGUAAAGCGUGCGCAGGCGGUUUGCUAAGACCGAUGUGAAAUCCCCGGGCUCAACCUGGGAACUGCAUUGGUGACUGGCAGGCUAGAGUAUGGCAGAGGGGGGUAGAAUUCCACGUGUAGCAGUGAAAUGCGUAGAGAUGUGGAGGAAUACCGAUGGCGAAGGCAGCCCCCUGGGCCAAUACUGACGCUCAUGCACGAAAGCGUGGGGAGCAAACAGGAUUAGAUACCCUGGUAGUCCACGCCCUAAAACGAUGUCAACUAGUUGUUGGGGGAUUCAUUUCCUUAGUAACGUAGCUAAACGCGUGAAGUUGACCGCCU
rnacentral:rRNA from 1 species